CUUUGAGAUAUUUAAAUAAAAUGUUGAACACUCUUACAGUUGUAUCUUUGUUUAACAAAUUCUGCAGUGAAAGCUGAUUAACUCCUAUAUCUCUAAGUGCUUCUAUAAGUUGUAGUCUUUCAUUGUCAUAACCUUUACACUGUUUCAGGAAGAUCACAUCUGACACAACAUCUGGAUACAUGUUUUCCAGUCAUAUGUAGUGACUGGUUAAGAGCAGAAUGCCCAAUUCUGAGACGUGAUAUUAUACUGUCUUCCUUUCUAUUCCCAAAACUUCUCUCGUUCCCAACUAUUCUCUGAAUAUUAUAUAGAUGUCGUCCUUUAUUCUCACUGUCCCAUUUUCUUUGCCACAUAUCCUAUACAGCUCCUUUAAUUAGCCCUUUUAUUUCCAAUUUACCAAUUGGAACAUUCAACUCUAUGUCUGAGUGUUUUAAUGCUUGUUUUGCUAUUUGAUCCACCACUUCAUUUCCUUCUACCCCUAUAUGAGCGGGUACCCAUACAAAUGAGAUAACUAUUCUUGUUUGAUGUAUUCUGAACAAAUUUUGUAAAAUAUAUGAUAAAACGUCUUGCCAAUUGAUGAUUUUCCACUCUUUAGACUUAGUAAUGCUGCAAAAGAGUCCGAACAGAUGACCACUUCAGAAGUUGAAAGUCAACUACAGGCAUUGGGAAUAGCCAUGGGGGUGUUGCUGGCAAUACUACAUAGCCCAAUAUACCAACUUCAGUUUUAACCUCCGAAACUCCAACUCCAACAACCCAUUUCAACCUGUAGACUGACACAGGUGAUGUUUUAAAUGCUCCACAGCAUAUUCUUAAUGCUUGAUUUUGUAUUAUAUUUACUUUAUCAAGCAGAGAUGCUGAGGCUGUACCAUAAAUCACACUGUAAAACAACUUCCGCGAGAUUUUGUGAAUAAACUAAUCAAAAUAAAAG